rnacentral:rRNA from 1 species
AAGAAGGAAAGGAUAGCAGCCGGAGCUGCUUUCACGUGGAUUCAAAGGAACUUUGCGCAUUGCCCUGGGGAUGCCACUGAUGAUGUGAUACAGACACAUGCUCAUGUCUGUAUGUGGUAUGUUGUCUCGAGGACUUUGUUUCCUGAAUCCACAGGCAAGAAUGCUCCAUGGAUGUGGCUGAAGGCGUUGACCGUCUUUGAUAGUGGAUGGAGCUGGGGUUCAGCAACUCUUGCCUACUUGUACCAACAGGUAGUUGGUUCGUUUUGUUAUAAAUUCAUUUCUUCAUUAGCAAUGCAACCUUGCUGUCAAGUUAACAUUGUUUUCUUUCAUAUGUAG